GACUGCGCAAGCGCGAAUGUGAGAGUGGUGCUAAAGGGUAACCCGAGCAAACAAGACAAAGAAAGACAACAUCAUUUCUUUCUGUCCAGGCAAGUUGGCACUGGGCCAGGAGCAGACCUCUCAUCAUCUCAUGUUCAAGGAAGACUUCAAAACAGCUGAUUGCAUCAGUCUGGUGGGAAACGCUGGGACGGCUAUUGAGCAACGUGUACAUGCUCUAAGUCUAUGGAAUGACUAGAUCAGACCCACUGAGGUCUGUUGCUCUUGCAUGGCCUAGCCCUUCAUCUUGUGGCUUUCAGAAGAUGAAGAAACAUUCCUAAGGAGACUUCGAGGUGACAUCAGCCUGAAGCAGCAGCAGACAGAUCUGGGACCGGACCGUGCACAGUGAAGCCUUGAAGGGCCUGCUGCUGAACCUUGGCAACAUCUCUCCGAAAGGAGGCGGGAGAUCUGCAUCCCAGCCACAGGCUGCUUGUCCCAGACUCCACUGCACACCUGCCCAGUCCAGCUCCAGAACGGGUACUCGCUCUCUCCUUCCUGUGGCCUCCCUUCCCUUGGGUUUCCCUUUGCAGCAGGGAGCAGAACAUGAUUCUAAGGUUGUCUUUGCGCUUAGACCCAUUUCCUUUGCUGAUGAGAUUCAAGAAUGGUGUUUUGUGCUGUGCCUGAGUGCCCGGUGAAUAGAUCCCUUGUGUUCUAGAAGAAUCGCAGUGCCUGGUUGCUCAUCACCAUUGCUGGCCCUGGCAGCUCUGAGGGGAAACCAGCUUGGAUUUCAGCCUCGGGGAUUAACAUCUCAGAGGCACAUAAAGCUGCCUGAAAGUCAAGAGGAGGCAGGGUAACGAUGCAUGGGGCUGUUGUGUGGUUAGUUUGUCUUUUGCCAUUCAUGGGGCACAGCAGCUGAGGCUGAUGAAGAUCAAACAGCCAAAAAGCAGAACCCACGGAGAGGAGUUUCCAUGGAGAGUGGAGACCACUGUCCCUCUCAUAGUCAGCUCCACACAUGGGAUCAUAUUCACCACGGGAUGAGGGAAGUUCAUCUCCUUCCCUCAGUGACUGGGGAACCUGGAAAUUAUAUUAGUAAAAGGAGAACCGUAUAGUUUGUUGGUAUUAAUGUUAAUGUAAUAUUAGCAUGCCUGGAAGCUUCACCCACACAAAGUCAAAGCCAGACAUGAAUCUUAGCACUUAAGAGGCUCAAGCAGGAGAAUCCUGAGUUCAAGUUCCUGCCUGGACGACAGAGCAAGGUCCCAUCCAGUCUAAGCUACAUAGUGACACUUGUCUUAAAAAAUAAAUCAGUGAAUCAAGACCUUGACUCUCUCUGUGU